rnacentral:rRNA from 1 species
AACGAACGCUGGCGGCAUGCCUAACACAUGCAAGUCGAACGAGACCUUCGGGUCUAGUGGCGCACGGGUGCGUAACGCGUGGGAACCUGCCCUUAGGUUCGGAAUAACUCCCCGAAAGGGGUGCUAAUACCGGAUAAUGUCUUCGGACCAAAGAUUUAUCGCCUUUGGAUGGGCCCGCGUUGGAUUAGCUAGUUGGUAGGGUAAAAGCCUACCAAGGCGACGAUCCAUAGCUGGUCUGAGAGGAUGAUCAGCCACACUGGGACUGAGACCCGGCCCAGACUCCUACGGGAGGCAGCAGUGGGGAAUAUUGGACAAUGGGCCAAAGCCUGAUCCAGCAAUGCCGCGUGAGUGAUGAAGGCCUUAGGGUUGUAAAGCUCUUUUACCCGGGAUGAUAAUGACAGUACCGGGAGAAUAAGCUCCGGCUAACUCCGUG